AUCCCAAAACACUUUCCAAGUAUGGAAAUCUCAAGAGAUUUUAACUACCAUUAUGAAGAGCACAACUUUGGAAGGGAAAGGCCUGCCUCCUGUUGUAAAGUAGGAGAAGGAAACAAGCUGCCACGUAAGAAGUUCCUUUCACCUCCCCCAUGAUUCUGAGAUCUCCCCAGCCAUGUGGAACUCAUUUUAUAUGUGGGAAGCACUUAGGAAAUAAAUGUUCAAUGAAUGAAUUAAUGAAGGAAUGAAUGCAAAAACAGCUAUGAAAAAAAGCUUAAAAAGAUUCUGCCUGCUUAUGCAAGAUGCUAAUCAUAGCAUUCCAGAAUGCUAAUGGAGAAUUAGCCCAUUUUGAAUUUUGGGAAGAGGACCAGUCUGACCAUACAUACACACUUUUCUCAGCACAUGACAGACAGUAGCAUCCUAGCAGCCAUCCUGUAUUUUGAAGAUGAAUGAGUGACACCAAGGAUGAGAAAGUGAGUGUGGAGUCCUGGACUUCCCAUCUCCAGACCUCUUACAGGAAAGAGGAAAAGGAAACCUGUGUCUUCUUAAUGUCAUGAUUAUUUGGGUUUUUUGUUCAGAGAAUUCUGCCAAACCUAACACUCAUUUAAAAGCUUAUCAAGCAAUUAUUAUAAAUUUAUUGAGUGAGCACUUUCUAUUCUUAAAAUUUGGGAUUUGCCCUUUCAUUAAUAGUAGAAAUAUAAGAAAUUAUCCUUGCUCUUUUUUGAAAAUUUACUUUAAGAAAUAAGGCUGACCUUGAGCACAAUGCUGUGUCAAAACUCUGUCAGAAAUACACAUAAACUUACAUAACACUCCAUACUUCUUUUGUGGUGACCCUUUCCACAUGACUUUUCCUUCUUAAUAGUACUGUAAGGUUCUUGAAAAAGAAGCUGGGUCUAAUUCGUACAUCGAGUAAUCAAUAAAAGCAUUACAGCUGUGACACAAUGAAAA